AUGUCUGCAUCGUCUCCCUUGCCCUCCGUCCCUCCCUCUCUUGCUGUCACGUUUACAGGCCCACACUGACUUUCCAUCCGGGACAGAGUUCUCUGCAGCCAGACAGGAUGGUAUUCCUGCUCUCUGAGUCAUCGCCAUGAUCUCCAAGGCUGCAGAGAGGAGGUCUGUUGUGGACACUUAUAAUAGACUAAUAGUGUGGGACACAGAGAGAGUCUACAGACUAGAAUUCAUCGAAAUUAUUGGCUGACGUUCUGCACCCACAGAACUGCAAAAUUCAUCCAGAAAAGUGGCCAUUAGAGCAUGUCGCCAGCUGAGAGGGACAUGAGGCUUUAACAGGAUGUCAGGACAACCAGCAACUAUCACAUUUACAGAGAUGGGGAUGUCAUCAGUGGCAACAAAGGAAACUAUACGGGACGGAAAAUGGAAAAAAGCCACACGAAGGUGAGAUUAUGUCUGGGUUGCCGUGCUUCCAGUCUUUCCUAGCUCUGAACAGAGUAAUGUGCCCCCACUCAUGUCUGAUGAGAAAACCAGCGCCAGAGGGGAUUACCACUCAGACAGGGUAAACCUGCAACUCAUUUACAGAUUCCCAUGGAACAUAUGGAGCUGAAUGCAGACAUGUGCUGGCUGCCUUUGAAUGUAUGCGGCUGGGCGACUGAGAGAUACCCCCCACUCUAGCAUCCUAAAACACUGAACCCUGUUCUGCUAGUUGAAUUUAGGAAGUUUUGAAUUGAUCUCACAGAUUCCUAACA